UACGUAGGGUCCGAGCGUUGUCCGGAAUUAUUGGGCGUAAAGAGCUCGUAGGCGGUUUGUCGCGUCUGCUGUGAAAACCUGAGGCUCAACCUCGGGCUUGCAGUGGGUACGGGCAGACUAGAGUGCGGUAGGGGUGACUGGAAUUCCUGGUGCAGCGGUGGAAUGCGCAGAUAUCAGGAGGAACACCGAUGGCGAAGGCAGGUCACUGGGCCGCAACUGACGCUGAGGAGCGAAAGCAUGGGGAGCGAACAGG
rnacentral:rRNA from 1 species